AUCCAUCUGAUGAGUCCCAAAUAGGACAAAACGUCAGUCAUGGAU
rfam:Schistosoma rodhaini strain Burundi genome assembly, scaffold: SROB_scaffold0008777